AGGGCACCACCAGGAGUGGAGCCUGCGGCUUAAUUUGACUCAACACGGGGAAACUCACCCGGCCCGGACACCGUAAGGAUUGACAGAUUGAUAGCUCUUUCAUGAUCUGGUGGAUGGUGGUGCAUGGCCGUUCUUAGUUCGUGGAGCGAUUUGUCUGGUUUAUUCCGAUAACGAGCGAGACUCUAGCCUACUAACUAGUCUGCACAUUGCUAUUGUGUUGCAGCACUUCUUAGAGGGAUUUUCGGUGUACAGCCGCACGAGAUUGAGCAAUAACAGGUCUGUGAUGCCCUUAGAUGUCCGGGGCUGCACGCGCGCUACACUGGCGAAAUCAGCGUGCCUGUCCUUUCCCGAAAGGGAUUGGUAAACCGGUGAAAAUUUGCCGUGAUUGGGAUCGGAAAUUGCAAUUAUUUUCCGUGAACGAGGAAUUCCAAGUAAAUGCGAGUCAUCAACUCGCGUUGAUUACGUCCCUGCCCUUUGUACACACCGCCCGUCGCUGCCCGGGACUGAGCCAUUUCGAGA
rnacentral:rRNA from 1 species